rnacentral:rRNA from 1 species
UACGGGGGGGGCAAGCGUUGUUCGGAAUUACUGGGCGUAAAGGGCUCGUAGGUGGCCAACUAAGUCAGACGUGAAAUCCCUCGGCUUAACCGGGGAACUGCGUCUGAUACUGGAUGGCUUGAGUUUGGGAGAGGGAUGCGGAAUUCCAGGUGUAGCGCUGAAAUGCGUAGAUAUCUGGAGGAACACCGGUGGCGAAGGCGGCAUCCUGGACCGGCAUUGACGCUGAGGCGCGAAAGCCAGGGGAGCAAACGGG